GAUGAACGCUGGCGGCGUGCCUAAUACAUGCAAGUCGAGCGAACCACUUCGGUGGUGAGCGGCGAACGGGUGAGUAACGCGUGAGGAACCUACCUUUCAGUGGGGGACAACAGUUGGAAACGACUGCUAAUACCGCAUAACAUGUACGGACCGCAUGGUCUGUACAUCAAAGCUUUAUGUGCUGAAAGAUGGCCUCGCGUCUGAUUAGCUAGUUGGUGAGGUAACGGCCCACCAAGGCGACGAUCAGUAGCCGGACUGAGAGGUUGAACGGGCCACAUUGGGACUGAGAUACGGCCCAGACUCCUACGGGAGGCAGCAGUGGGGAAUAUUGGGCAAUGGGGAAACCCUGACCCAGCAACGCCGCGUGGAGGAAGAAGGUUUUCGGAUCGUAAACUCCUGUCCUCAGGGAAGAGCAGAAGACGGUACCUGAGGAGGAAGCCCCGGCUAACUACGUG
rnacentral:rRNA from 1 species